GGCCGGCUGGCCUAAUGGCAAGGCGCCAGAUUUCGGCACGAAAUCACGAUUAAUAUCUCUGGAGAUUAAGGGUUCGAGUCCCUUGUCGGUCA